UAUGAGAGUUUGAUCCUGGCUCAGGAUGAACGCCGGCGGUGUGCCUAAUACAUGCAAGUCGAACGCGUUGGCCCAAUUGAUUGAUGGUGCUUGCACCUGAUUGAUUUUGGUUGCCAGCGAGUGGCGGACGGGUGAGUAACACGUAGGUAACCUGCCCAGAAGCGGGGGACAACAUUUGGAAACAGAUGCUAAUACCGCAUAACAGCGUUGUUCGCAUGAACAACGCUUAAAAGAUGGCUUCUCGCUAUCACUUCUGGAUGGACCUGCGGUGCAUUAGCUUGUUGGUGGGGUAACGGCCUACCAAGGCGAUGAUGCAUAGCCGAGUUGAGAGACUGAUCGGCCACAAUGGGACUGAGACACGGCCCAUACUCCUACGGGAGGCAGCAGUAGGGAAUCUUCCACAAUGGGCGCAAGCCUGAUGGAGCAACACCGCGUGAGUGAAGAAGGGUUUCGGCUCGUAAAGCUCUGUUGUUAAAGAAGAACACGUAUAAGAGUAACUGUUCAUACGUUGACGGUAUUUAACCAGAAAGUCACGGCUAACUACGUGCCAGCAGCCGCGGUAAUACGUAGGUGGCAAGCGUUAUCCGGAUUUAUUGGGCGUAAAGAGAGUGCAGGCGGUUUUCUAAGUCUGAUGUGAAAGCCUUCGGCUUAACCGGAGAAGUGCAUCGGAAACUGGAUAACUUGAGUGCAGAAGAGGGUAGUGGAACUCCAUGUGUAGCGGUGGAAUGCGUAGAUAUAUGGAAGAACACCAGUGGCGAAGGCGGCUACCUGGUCUGCAACUGACGCUGAGACUCGAAAGCAUGGGUAGCGAACAGGAUUAGAUACCCUGGUAGUCCAUGCCGUAAACGAUGAGUGCUAGGUGUUGGAGGGUUUCCGCCCUUCAGUGCCGGAGCUAACGCAUUAAGCACUCCGCCUGGGGAGUACGACCGCAAGGUUGAAACUCAAAGGAAUUGACGGGGGCCCGCACAAGCGGUGGAGCAUGUGGUUUAAUUCGAAGCUACGCGAAGAACCUUACCAGGUCUUGACAUCUUGCGCCAACCCUAGAGAUAGGGCGUUUCCUUCGGGAACGCAAUGACAGGUGGUGCAUGGUCGUCGUCAGCUCGUGUCGUGAGAUGUUGGGUUAAGUCCCGCAACGAGCGCAACCCUUGUUACUAGUUGCCAGCAUUAAGUUGGGCACUCUAGUGAGACUGCCGGUGACAAACCGGAGGAAGGUGGGGACGACGUCAGAUCAUCAUGCCCCUUAUGACCUGGGCUACACACGUGCUACAAUGGACGGUACAACGAGUCGCGAACUCGCGAGGGCAAGCAAAUCUCUUAAAACCGUUCUCAGUUCGGACUGCAGGCUGCAACUCGCCUGCACGAAGUCGGAAUCGCUAGUAAUCGCGGAUCAGCAUGCCGCGGUGAAUACGUUCCCGGGCCUUGUACACACCGCCCGUCACACCAUGAGAGUUUGUAACACCCAAAGUCGGUGGGGUAACCUUUUAGGAGCCAGCCGCCUAAGGUGGGACAGAUGAUUAGGGUGAAGUCGUAACAAGGUAGCCGUAGGAGAACCUGCGGCUGGAUCACCUCCUU
rnacentral:rRNA from 1 species